UGGAAAGGAAGAAUGGGGGAUGGGGACAGCUGAUUUUUCCUCCCUCCUGCCAAACCACCUUUAAUUCCUUCUAGGGUACUGAUGUAUUGGGGACAGCUUCUCUGCCCUGCCUGACAUGGUCCAAUCAUCCUGUCAGCCAUCUGAACUGCACCACCGAAGCCAGGACCCAAAAAAAGUUCCAUUUUAUGCGCCCAUGACGAGUGUUAGAUCGAGCUUGCUUGUUUAACUCAAGAUUCAUUAAUGGCAUGAGUUCCUGUUUAAAGAUGGGGUUUCUGGAACCUUGGUCAGUUUCCAGGAACCAGAUCAAUUCUCAAUCUGAAAAUGGUCAUCUUAAAGUUGUGGCCAAAACAGUUUAACUUCUUACCUGUUAUUUCCAAGGGGGAAUGAGAGUUAGGCCGCCCUCUUUUCUUGUUCCCUUGGAAACACACGCAUUCUGUUCAAGCUUGUCACUGUGUGAUCUACCAAGAGCCCUGUAUUGCCUUCCUCUCUGUCUUCUGGCUCUGGCUCUGCCUGGGAAUGUUCAGGAAUCUGUGUCCUGCUGUGCUAUGAGCCCUGUGGAGGGAAGGGGACAGGAUCAUUUCCAGAGAAGAUUGUGGUAACAAUGUUUCUCUGGCAUAUGGAAGAAGUCAGUGGUCACCUGAAAAAAGAGACUUUGGUAAACU
rnacentral:lncRNA from 1 species